GCGGACGUGAGCGUCUUUGGACAGCCGCCCUGGGGACUAGGACAGGUUUAGCACUGUCCACAAAAGUCUCUCAUGUCAAGUUGUUUUACGAGUGGGGGCCAAGCUCUCUCCCACCCACCAGCCCUCCACCCUGCUGGGAAUCCUGUGACUCCUGUCCCCACCCAGCUGCUUCAGUUCAUCAGCAUCUGCUGAUUGCUUCUUCAUCAUCUCCUCGCUGCCAGGCAGGUGGCAGCCAACGUCCCACCGAAAAGUAGAUGCGGGAGAGCGACCCCUGACAAUUUACACGAAGAGUAGGACUGGGGGACCAAAUCCUCUUCUAGAUGAAUAAUGACAGGAGAGACGACUUUGCCAGCGUUUUGCUUGCCCCCUAACCAGGAUCCGAAAAUUCAGUCAAAAAUGUUAAGGCUCUCAGGAGCAUCGUUCGAAUCUUCCCUCCUGCACUGACCUCAUUUGAAAGGCCAGCAUUUCAUGGAGAACAGAACCGCCGUGCGUGUCGCUUGACAACAUUCUCUCAUUGGUCAGGGGCUCCUGCCACCUUCGGAUAAAGACCUGGUGCUUUGUGAAUGUGCAGUGGCACCGUCCAGGUGUAACCUGGCGGCACAGAGGGACUCUGUGAUCUGCUUCAGCCCUUUCACUUUACAAAGGGGGAAACUGACACUGGGUCUGAGGAAGGUCUCUCUGCCGGGGCAGCUGAGUGGUCACAGAGCUGGGACUAGACUGUAAGCCUGGUGCCUCCCUUCAGGACCCCUACUUCCUGCCUUUUCCUGAAGGUAGAACUAUAGGACUUUGACUCUGGAGGAUCUGCUGCUGCCCCCUGGAGUUGCCCCAGGCCCCAGGAGUUGAGGACCUUAUUCCAGAUCCUGGCCCCCAAGUUCACAGGCACACGUGGAGUCAGAGCAUGACUUCCCUCCAGGCACUCGAGGGCGAGCCGGGCGGCCCCACUCUCUGGUGUCGUUCCAAUUGCUGGCUCUGAUGCUUCCUGCGCCAACAGGUGGCCACGGAGCUGACCCCCAGCGGCCGCAUCAGUCGCCAACAAUGUGAGCUGUCGACAGAGAAAGAUAAAGACCAGGAAACCGUUUCUCACGUAGUUGGCCCAGAGCAGAGAGUAAAUUGCCAGAAACGGCCUGGAAGAGGCUGUAAAAGGAAA